CAUUACUCAUAUCUUGACAGAAAGUGCCAUAUGGAGAUCACCCUGAAACAGAAGAACUUGGAGGCACCACGAUUUCUUGUUCCACAACGCUCAGUUGCUCGUUCACUCUUUUCAGAAAUGCACUGAAUGCUCUUUACAUGAGAUAACGCACAGAACAGGCCCAAUGAUCUGCACCGUCCAGCAACCCACCUAUUUAGCACCAGCUCAAUCUCAGGACAAUUUACAAUGACCAAUUAACCUACUAACUGGAACGUCUUUGAACUGUGGGAGGACAGCAGGGCAUCUUGCGGAAAUCCAUGUGGUUACAGGGGAGAAUGUACAAACUCGUUACAAACUCUGAACUCAGGCCGUCCCCGGGUUACGUA